rnacentral:rRNA from 1 species
CACAGGAACUUAGCAUGACAUGCUUUNGAUGCUUCGGGAACUGUGAGACNGGUGCUGUAUGGCUGUCGUCAGCUCGUGUUGUGAAAUGUUGGGUUAAGUCCCGCAACGAGCGCAACCCUUUAUCGUUNGUUGCCAGCGGUUCAGGCCGGGAACUCAAAGGAGACUGCCAGUGAUAAACUGGAGGAAGGUGGGGAUGACGUCAAGUCAUCAUGGCCCUUACGACCAGGGCUACACACGUGCUACAAUGGCAUAUACAAAGAGAAGCGACCUCGCGAGAGCAAGCGGACCUCAUAAAGUAUGUCGUAGGGNCGGAUUGGAGUCUGCAACUCGACUCCAUGAAGUCGGAAUCGCUAGUAAUCGUAGAUCAGAAUGCUACGGUGAAUACGUUCCCGGGUCUUGUAC